rnacentral:misc_RNA from 1 species
UUCUGUGUUGAAGUUAUGAUGCUGGGUGUUGUGCCAUAGAUGACUAUAUAGGUUAUCCUUGUGGAUUCACCUAGCUGCUGUCUUUCAAAUUAAUUUUUGUGUAUUAUUUUGAAUUCCAUUAUUUGAACUUACAGUUGGUUUCCUUCUUUUUUAGAAUAUGUUGCUAUCAUAAAAUGAAUUCCAUGAUUGAGAGUUAAGAUGUUAAUAUAGGACCACUAUGAUUCUAUGAGGG